rnacentral:rRNA from 1 species
AUACGUAGGUGGCAAGCGUUGUCCGGAAUUACUGGGUGUAAAGGGCGUGUAGGCGGGGAUGCAAGUCAGAUGUGAAAUUCCGGGGCUCAACCCCGGCACUGCAUCUGAAACUGUGUCUCUUGAGUGCUGGAGAGGAAAGCGGAAUUCCUAGUGUAGCGGUGAAAUGAGUAGAUAUUAGGAGGAACACCAGUGGCGAAGGCGGCUUUCUGGACAGUAACUAACGCUGAGGCGCGAAAGCGUGGGUAGCGAACAGGAUUAGAUACCCUGGUAGUCCACGCCGUAAACGAUGGAUACUAGGUGUAGGAGGUAUCGACCCCUUCUGUGCCGGAGUUAACACAAUAAGUAUCCCACCUGGGGAGUACGGCCGCAAGGUUGAAACUCAAAUGAAUUGACGGGG